UAGAAGAUGGUGUAUCGGAAGCACGAAGAGUUUUGAUCUCUUAGGGAGGGGUUCGAGCCCCCUUUUUCUAG
rnacentral:tRNA from 1 species